UACGGAAGGCAGCAGUGGGGAAUAUUGCACAAUGGGCGCAAGCCUGAUGCAGCCAUGCCGCGUGUAUGAAGAAGGCCUUCGGGUUGUAAAGUACUUUCAGUCGUGAGGAAGGUGUUAAGGUUAAUAACCUUAGCAAUUGACGUUAGCGACAGAAGAAGCACCGGCUAACUCCGUGCCAGCAGCCGCGGUAAUACGGAGGGUGCGAGCGUUAAUCGGAAUUACUGGGCGUAAAGGGCACGCAGGCGGUUAAUAAGUUGGAUGUGAAAUCCCCGGGCUUAACCUGGGAAUGGCAUUCAAGACUGGUUAGCUAGGGUCUUGUAGAGGGGGGUAGAAUUCCAUGUGUAGCGGUGAAAUGCGUAGAGAUGUGGAGGAAUACCGGUGGCGAAAGGCGGCCCCUGGACAAAGACUGACGCUCAUGUGCGAAAAGCGUGGGGAGCAAAACAGGGAUUAGAUACC
rnacentral:rRNA from 1 species